rnacentral:rRNA from 1 species
ACACGACUACAUUAGAUACCCGGUAGUCCCAGCCCUAAACGAUGCGCGUUAGGUGUAUCGGUGACCACGAGUCACCGAGGUGCCGAAGGGAAACCGUGAAACGUGCCGCCUGGGGAGUACGUCCGCAAGGAUGAAACUUAAAGGAAUUGGCGGGGGAGCACCGCAACGGGAGGAGCGUGCGGUUUAAUUGGGUUCAACACCGUAAACUCACCAGGGAAGACUGUUACAUGAAGGCCGAGAUGAAGACUCUGCUAGAUUUUCAG